rnacentral:rRNA from 1 species
UGGGGAAUAUUGCACAAUGGGCGAAAGCCUGAUGCAGCGACGCCGCGUGAGGGAUGACGGCCUUCGGGUUGUAAACCUCUUUCAGCAGGGAAGAAGCCACAAGUGACGGUACCUGCAGAAGAAGCGCCGGCUAACUACGUGCCAGCAGCCGCGGUAAUACGUAGGGCGCAAGCGUUGUCCGGAAUUAUUGGGCGUAAAGAGCUCGUAGGCGGUUUGUCGCGUCUGCUGUGAAAGCCCGGGGCUUACCCCCGGGUGUGCAGUGGGUACGGGCAGACUAGAGUGCAGUAGGGGAGACUGGAAUUCCUGGUGUAGCGGUGGAAUGCGCAGAUAUCAGGAGGAGCACCGAUGGCGAAGGCAGGUCUCUGGGCUGUUACUGACGCUGAGGAGCGAAAGCAUGGGGAGCGAACA